GGUGUGGUGUCAAAUAUGUGACUACUAUCGGUAGUGGAUACAUCUAAGCCGGUGAGCAUAAGCACAUCGGCAAGAGUGGGAGAAGCAGGGCCGUGACCGAAGAUGAAGGCAUUAAGCGUGUCUGACCAAAAAUAUGAUGCAGCAAUCAACAGUGUUUCAUUCCUAUGCAUAUCGGCAAGGGACAAUCUGAUGCAUUGGUCCAGUUUUCGCUCACCCCACUAAACCUCAUUAGAGUGGCUGACUCUCAAGAACCAAUCCUUCCAUCCAUUGGUGGGACUGGGCCAGGAAUGGAAGGCGUCUUUCCACAGAUCUAGAGAAAAGUUCUCGGCUCUAAAGGGGAUUCUGUUGGUUUCUGCGUUGAUUAGAUCGGUGGGAUCUGGGUUCCUAGCGGACCGAGACAUUGGAGGUGUGGCUGAUCGGUAGGAAUGACAAUUUUAUUGGACAAAUCCUAGAGGUUUUUAAGAAUAAAGAGAAGAACAAAAGAAAAAGAAGAAAAAAAUGUUCAGUAAAGUAAAUUACAGAUGAACAAGGGUAUGGUAAAAGUACAAAAGGAAGGGUGAUGAACUGACCUUAGGAACAGCAAAGUUGAUGGCCAUCUCCUCGCGAGGAAGAUGAUCGAGGACUUUGAGGUUGGUGGAGGAAGUUCUUGCUAGAUUUAUUGGAGACCUCGAACGGUGCCGCCGCCAAGGAAGUGGAUGCUGGGGCUGUAGAAUGAUGCGAUGGAGAAGUAGUACCCGAAAAGGAACUAUUUAUAGGACAAAACGGGC
rnacentral:lncRNA from 1 species